UUUUAGCUUUUUCCAAUUGGCUUUUUCAGCUUCAGCAGUGAGUGUUUUUUAAACAUUUUAAAUGCAAUGGGAUCCAUAAAUGAGUGCCCUUGCUGCUUACUGCGUCCCCGUCCCUCGACGAGACAUUUGACGACGUCUAAACUCCUGUCUCGGAGUAACAGAUCCAUACUCUCUCAUGAAUGUCGAUGGUCGAACCAUGCUUCUUAAUCAAGGUAAUUCCUGGCAGUGAUGGGAAGAGUGUUAUGAGCACCUGUGGAAAUCAUGCUGCUUCAAGUUUUCUGGCUGUACCCUAGCUGCGCUUCAUCUAUAUUGGACAACACACAUUCUGUCAGGAUUGGAUGGAAGUGUCCCACUUAAUGAGAAAGAUGAAGCGUGUGGAGUCAAGUUGGAACCGUCAGCAAUGAAAUUGCCGAAGACGGUCAGACUGUAGCACGCUCAGUCCGCGCGUGGUGACGGGCCUCUGCCAGCUAAAGAACAGACAGCACACAGCAGCGCGCCAGACAGCAGCUCGCGAUGACUUGCUGCGUGAGGCUCGCGCGCCUCCGCGACUCCCCGCGCGCGAUCCAGCCGUGCCCCGCGCCGCCGCCCCGCGCACCGAGCCCGCCCGCCAGUGCGCAACGGGAGCCCCGCACACAACCCUACACCUGCGAUACUUGCCAGGCGCACUUCACAGAGAAGUCUAGAUUCAUUUAUUACACAUAAUAUAGGGACAGAUGAAAUAGUCAAAUAGGUGUAGGUAACAAAACUUGUUUAGAACAGGAUAUAUCUAAAAAUUCAUAGGUAGGGUAUAUAGGCACGGCAAGUCCCAUUCAGGCGGUCAGGGCCGGUAUUCCACAGGGUUCAGUUGUUAACCUCUGCGUCAAUGAUUUCGAAUUUCUGGAGUAUGUUAUGCCCUGUUGCGGCCACAAUCAUUGUAUCGUCUCCGCUUUUCUGGAGGUUGACUUCCCGUUUCGUGAA